AUUGAACGCUGGCGGCAGGCCUAACACAUGCAAGUCGAGCGGAUGACGGGAGCUUGCUCCUUGAUUCAGCGGCGGACGGGUGAGUAAUGCCUAGGAAUCUGCCUGGUAGUGGGGGACAACGUUUCGAAAGGAACGCUAAUACCGCAUACGUCCUACGGGAGAAAGCAGGGGACCUUCGGGCCUUGCGCUAUCAGAAGAGCCUAGGUCGGAUUAGCUAGUUGGUGAGGUAAAGGCUCACCAAGGCGACGAUCCGUAACUGGUCUGAGAGGAUGAUCAGUCACACUGGAACUGAGACACGGUCCAGACUCCUACGGGAGGCAGCAGUGGGGAAUAUUGGACAAUGGGCGAAAGCCUGAUCCAGCCAUGCCGCGUGUGUGAAGAAGGUCUUCGGAUUGUAAAGCACUUUAAGUUGGGAGGAAGGGCAGUAAGUUAAUACCUUGCUGUUUUGACGUUACCAACAGAAUAAGCACCGGCUAACUUCGUGCCAGCCACCGCCGUAACAC
rnacentral:rRNA from 1 species